rnacentral:lncRNA from 10 species
GGCAGCACAGUUAUGGGAGCACAUUUUUGAACACAGGCUCCCACCUUCAACUUAUCACUUCCUUACCUUUGCUGGGGUACCUGAUGACUUUAAAGAGACUGUUUCUUUGGAGAAGGUGGAAUACGCUUAAAGGUUGGAAUGGAUACAACCAAACCACCAUAAAAGCCUUAUGUGGAACAUGGCAGACUUGGUCUUGCCUUUAAAACACCAUUUUAAAAGAGACCAUUUGUUAGUGCCUGAAAUCUGUAACUGGCUUAAAAGCUCUGUCAGCUGGAAAGGAACCUGUCAGUGUGAUAAUGGAAAAGAAGAAGAUACAUCAGAGAGAGGCAGAGGGUGAAAAUACCAAGGAUAGAGCAAGUCUGACAAACUCACGUUGAAUAACAAGAUCUUCAUGGCCUGGAUCCCUGAAAGACUGUGUGGAACAGAGCUCUUCUGAGGAUUAAAGGAGGUAACUUAAGAAGAAGAGUUAAUGAGAAAAUGUCCAGUCUGAAGGAAAAAAGUGUAAGAAAUGAUUCCCAAA